AUUGAACGCUGGCGGCAUGCCUAACACAUGCAAGUCGAACGGGGGCAGCAAUGCCCUAGUGGCGGACGGGUGAGGAAUACGUAGGAACCGGCCCACGAGUGGGGGACAACCUGGGGAAACCCAGGCUAAUACCGCAUACGCUCGCGAGAGGAAAGCGGGGGACCUUCGGGCCUCGCGCUGGUGGACGGGCCUACGUCCGAUUAGCUAGUUGGUGGGGUAAAAGCCUACCAAGGCGACGAUCGGUAGCUGGUCUGAGAGGAUGAUCAGCCACACUGGGACUGAGACACGGCCCAGACUCCUACGGGAGGCAGCAGUGGGGAAUAUUGGACAAUGGGCGCAAGCCUGAUCCAGCCAUGCCGCGUGAGUGAAGAAGGCCUCGGUUGUAAGGACUCUUUCGGUCCGGGAAGGAAAGUACGCAUGGGUCGAAUACCCUCGUGUGGA
rnacentral:rRNA from 1 species